UAACAAGGAUUCCCCUAGUAACUGCGAGUGAAGCGGGAAAAGCUCAAAUUUAAAAUCUGGCAGCUUUGGCUGUCCGAGUUGUAGUCUGGAGAAGCGUUUUCUGUGCUGGACCGUGUACAAGUCUCUUGGAACAGAGCGUCGUAGAGGGUGAGAAUCCCGUCUUUGACACGGACUCCCAGUGCUUUGUGAUGCGCUCUCAAAGAGUCGAGUUGUUUGGGAAUGCAGCUCAAAAUGGGUGGUAAAUUCCAUCUAAAGCUAAAUAUUGGCGAGAGACCGAUAGCGAACAAGUACCGUGAGGGAAAGAUGAAAAGCACUUUGGAAAGAGAGUUAAACAGUACGUGAAAUUGCUGAAAGGGAAACGAUUGAAGUCAGUCGCGUCGGCCAGAACUCAGCCUGGCUUUUGCCUGGUGCAUUUUCUGGUUGACGGGCCAGCAUCAAUUUUGAUCGCUGGAUAAAGGCCUUGGGAAUGUGGCACCUUCGGGUGUGUUAUAGCCCUUGGUUGUAUACAGUGGUUGGGAUUGAGGAUCACAGCAUGCCUUUACGGCCGGGGUUCGCCCACGUUCAUGCUUAGGAUGCUGGCGUAAUGGCUUUAAACGAC
rnacentral:rRNA from 1 species